UUCAGAAUUGCGGAGUUUGCUUACCCACCCUCCCAUCCGAAACUUUGAUGGAAGCAGAAUAGGGACCAGCUCCAUUUGUUUGAUUGACCAGCUGGAUGGGUUUGGAUUCAAAAUGCAUCAAGAAUGAAAACCAGUCAUCUGUUGUGAAGAAGUUUAUAUUGAAGAAAGAAAAAUGGAAAUGUUGG
rnacentral:lncRNA from 11 species